GGCGCAUUCGUCUAGCGGCCUAGGACGCCGCCCUCUCAAGGCGGAGAUCGCGGGUUCGAACCCCGCAUGCGCCACCA
rnacentral:tRNA from 1 species